rnacentral:rRNA from 1 species
UACUGAGUGGCAGACGGGUGAGUAUAAUGUGGGAAUCUGCCUUUUGGUUCGGAAUAACACGAGGAAACUUGUGCUAAUACCGGAUAAGCCUUUACAGGGAAAGUUUUAAUGCCAAAAGAUGAGCCCGCACUUGAUUAGCUAGUUGGUAAGGUAAUAGCUUACCAAGGCAACGAUCAAUAGCUGUUCUUAGAGGAAGACCAGCCACAUUGGGACUGAGACACGGCCCAAACUCCUACGGGAGGCAGCAGUGGGGAAUCUUGCACAAUGGGGGCAACCCUGAUGCAGCGAUGCCGCGUGAGUGAAGAAGGCCUUUGGGUUGUAAAACUCUUUCGUCGGGGAAGAAAAUGACUGUACCCGAAUAAGAAGGUCCGGCUAACUUCGUGCCAGCAGCCGCGGUAAUACGAAGGGACCUAGCGUAGUUCGGAAUUACUGGGCUUAAAGAGUUCGUAGGUGGUUAAAAAAGUUGAUGGUGAAAUCCCAAGGCUCAACCUUGGAACUGCCAUCAAAACUUUUUAGCUAGAGUAUGAUA